rnacentral:rRNA from 1 species
AUGCCUCCUCGUCCAGCGAGGUCAGGGGCUGGUCGUGGUGGUGGUGGUAUCCAGCGCCGCAAGUCCCUGACCAAUGCCACAAGCGCUCAAAUUGGAGGCCACAUUGACCCGGACGACGACGAGGAAGGCUUCUAUUGGACCAGCUCCAACAUGCUUCAGAACUCCGACGAGGAGGAAGACGACUCUGAUGAGGCUAUGAAGAAUAGGUAUACCCAAGCAAAGGUCUUGGCAACUUUCUGGAAAGAGGUGCAGGUGAAGUCCAGUGGACUAGGCCGAGGUCCAAAUGGUGAAAUCCUAGCAAGCGAGUCAUGGUGGCAAGCUAAUACCAAGGGGAGAAUCGAGUGCUAUAGAGUAUUCAAGGAUCGAGUGCCCCCCUAUCUAGAUGAUUUGAUGCAGAUCUUCGAUUAUGUGACAGUGGAUGGAGCAUCUGCAUUUUGUCCAGGAUUUGAUGAGGAAGACAGCCAGCCGCGUAAUGGUGUUGCAGCAGAUCUUUAUGAUCUCACCGGAGAAGGCGACACAUGCAGUCCCAUGGGCAGUGCCAACAAGAGGGCUAGCAGUAGCAGCAAGAGGGCCAGCAGCAAUGCAACAACAGGAGAGAGCCCUUCCAAGAAAACCAAGAGUCCUAUGGUUAAAGCUCUUAGGGGGCUGCAAUGGAUGGCUGCCACCAUGGAUCAGUGGGCAGAGGAGGACGAAGAAGAGGAGGAACAAGAAGCUGCAGCAGCAGAGAGGAGGAAGAGCAUAAUAUUCAGCGCUGCACAAAUCAUUGCCAUUGAUGGAACACAUAUAGAGGUGGUUGUGCCAAAGACAGACCUCAUCACACACAUGAACCGAAAAUCAACUACUACUCAGAAUGUGCUAGCAAUGUGUGAUUUUGACUUGAGAUUCACCUUCAUCGUUACUGGGUGGCCUGGGUCGGUUCAUGACAUGAGGGUGUUCAAGGCAACACUAGACAAAUUUGGCAGCCACUUCCCACAUCCUCCCCAAGGGAAGUUUUAUGUGGUGGACUCGGGAUUCUUUAACCAACCUGGUUAUCUUGCACCGUACAAAGGAACGAAGUACCAUUUUCAAGAGUACAAUCAAGGUCCACCGCCAAGAGAGACAGUAAAUUGGAGGAUAGAGAUUUUGGAGAGUGUGAUGAUGAUGAGGAGUUCAUUCCAAUGGUGGAUGAGCCUAGUAGCCUACGACACCGACGCCAACGACGAAGCCGUGCAACCCAAUCGCAGGGGCAAAACUCGCGUGGUGAUCAUGACAUGA